CACCCAUCAUCCAGCACUCACACACCCAUCAUCCAGCACUCACACACCCAUCAUCCAGCACUCACACCCAUCAUCCAGCACUCACACACCCAUCAUCCAGCACACACACACCCAUCAUCCAGCACACACACACACAUCAUCCAGCACAUACACCCAUCAUCCAGCACUCACACACCCAUCAUCCAGCACACACACACCCAUCAUCCAGCACUCACACACCCAUCAUCCAGCACUCACACACACAUCAUCCAGCACACACACACACAUCAUCCAGCACACACACACACACAUCAUCCAGCACUCGCACACACAUCAUCCAGCACACACACACACACACAUCAUCCAGCACUCACACACCCAUCAUCCAGCACUCACACACAUCAUCCAGCACUCACACACCCAUCAUCCAGCACACACAC